rnacentral:lncRNA from 1 species
GUUGCUGGCUUAAAGGACAAUUCUCUUCAUUGGUGAGAGCCCAGGCCAUUAACACCUACACAGUGUUAUUGAAAGAAGAGAGGUGGGGGUGGAGGGGAAUUAGUCUGUCCCAGCUAGAGGGAGAUAAAGAGGGCUAGUUAGUUCUUGGAGCAGCUGCUUUUGAGGAGAAAAUAUAUAGCUUUGGACACGAGGAAGAUCCAGAAAAUUAUCAUUGAACAUAUUAAUGGUUAUUUCUUUUUCUUGGAUUUCCAGAAAAGCCUCUUAAUUUUAUGCUUUCUCAUCGAAGUAAUGUACCCUUUUUUUCUGAAACUGAAUUAAAUACUCAUUUUAUCUUUGAAAAAAA